AGCCAGGUGUGGUGGCAGACGCCUGUAAUCCCAGCUACUCAGGAGGCUGAGGCAGACAAUUGCUUGAACCCAGGAGGCGGAGGUUGAGUGACCCGAGAUCAUGCCACUACACUCCAGCCUGGGCCACAGAGUGAGACUCCAUCUCAAAUAAAUAAAUAAAUAAAUAAGCAAGCUUGGCGCAGAGUAUUUGGGGAUGUGGGGGUGGUGGUGUAGGCACCAGUACUGAGCCUAGGAGCACUUCAGGCCUUAAAACAUCUGGUGAGUUUCCACAGCCUUAGUGGCUGCCUCCCCCACUUGCUGGGAAAGCCCCGGAUCCCUUCUGAAGUCCAUGUCAAAUUGCCCAUCACCUCCCCAUCUUCCCAGGGGUACUUCCUGGGACCCUGUCCAUCCUUCUCUCUGCAGUGAUCCCAGGUUCCUGCCCAGACAAGACUGCAGGGUCUAAGGCAGUGCCCUGCACUCCCUAAUGAUGCCUAUGCGAGUGGCAUUCUGGCCUUUCAAAAAGAGAGUUAUGGCCACAAUGGGGACACAGGCAGGGAAGCAGCUAACCAACACUCAUGGGGAACUGACUAAUUCUGGGCUCUGCCAAUGUUCUGCCCCCAACCUGAGCUCCAUCUGCUUUGAAAGAUGAUGCAGGGGCUUGUGUUUGUCCCUGGCCUUUGCUGGUCCUUUUCUAAGAUCACCAACUUUUGGGAUUUUUCCCAUCCUCCUUGUCUCUUUCUCAUUCAGGCUGGAGCUCAUUGUGUCUCCCCACCAUCUGAACGAAUUCACAAUCCUUCCUCCCUUGUCCUAGUCCAGCUGUUGCCAAACAUUCAUGGAGUCCAAUUGUGUGCCAGGCCAUAAGAAGGCAUGAUGGGGAGGGAGAGGCCCCAGUUCCCUCACUGAGGAGAUGACAUCCCUGUGUGUCUGAUUGAGGAGCUGGAGCUAGCCGUGGAAGAGCUGGGAGAAGGGUAUCUGAAAAGAAGAAAAACAGGAAGCAAGGAAAAGUAAGCAAAAGUCAGCCCCUUUAGGCAGAAAGAAAACCCAUGGAUCUCACCUGUCUCAUUAGCGUGGAAAAGUCAGUGUGACCUCAGAAAUCAGUCCAGGUGUCUGGACCUUUCUGGUCCUGGAGAAGGAAAACAUAGCAUGAAAAUCCCCAAGCUCUGGGUUCAGGCUCCAAAUCCUCCAUUCCUUCCUCCUUCAGGUGUCCUUCCUUACUGUGGCUCCUUAUGGUGCCCCUUGGCCAGGCACUCGAGCCUUCCUGAGGCUCAGUUCGUUUAACUGUAAAUGGGGACAAGAAAAUUGCUGUCUGCACAGAGUUGCUGCAGGAAUAAAAUAGAAUCGUGGGCUGGGCAUGGUGGCUUACAGCUGUAAUCCCAGCACUUUGGGAGGCCAAGGCCGGUGGAUCACCUGAGCUCAGGAGUUCGAGACCAGCCUGGAAAAUAUGGUGAAACCCCAUCUCUACCAAAAAAUACAAAAAUUAGCCAGGCAUGGGGGUGCACAUCUGUGGUCCCAGCUACUAGGGAGGCUGAGGUGGGAGGAUUGCUUGAGCUCAGGAGGUAGAGAUUGCAGUGAGCCAAGAUUGUGCCAUUGUACUCCAGCCUGAGUGACAGAGUGAGACUCUGUCUCAAAAACAAACAAACAAAAAAAUAGAAUCAUGGACUUGGAGGAAUUGCUGGUCCCUCUGUGUGGCCUGGUGAAAAGAACACAAGUGAGCACUGGCAGAGGACACACCUGUGUUUGAAGCCAGCCUCUGCUCCUUUCUAGCUCUGUGUCCUAAAACGAGUUACUUAACGUCUCUGAGCAUGUCCUACGUUAGUGAUAAAAUAUAUAAAUGUCCCUCUCUCAGGGUUGUUGUAAGGAGUAAAUAAAUUAAUGUACAUAAAAAGCACACAAAAGUAUCUGUUACACUGCAACUGCUCUAGAGGUGAUUGCCAUAAUGAAGAAGAAUAUUCGAAACUGGAGGUGAAUCUCAUGAUUCUGCACUUUUUAUCUGGAUGUUGCUGGCUUUUCACCAUGGCUUUUCUGACUUUGUUCCACAGUGUGUGUAAAGCACUUAAUCUGUUCCAAGUUCUUUGUAAGACUUUAGUCUGAGGACUGAAGCCCACAGCUCAUUGCCCUUUAAAGGAAGAGCUAUAAAUAGUACACUGGGUCAUUAAAAAGAGGAAGGAAUGCACCUGGACAGCCAAGUACAUGUAAAUUUGGCCAGAGGAGACUUCAGGGCCCAGAGCAUGCCCGUCAGCAAAGUCUCCCCUGGCUUCUGCAGAAGAACUCUGGUCAUCCAGGUGAGGGACCACAGGCCAGCCAGCUGUUCCUUCCAGACGUCUCCAGAAACCUCUAUGAGUCCCUUGGAAGGUAACAAACUCAGACCAAGAGGCUGCUUCUGAAGAAACCCAACAGUAGACUCUGGUGUGAAGAACAAAGACACACAGCUUGAGCCUGGGGAUGGACACCUCCCAGCAGCCCUGGCUGCCACUCACUGCUGUGCUGCAGCCUGAGAUGAGAAUACUGAUGUUCAGAGCAACCGACUGAACCCCUGGAAGUCACUCAUACUGAAAAUGGCAAAGCAGUAUCUGCCCCUGCUCUGUCCAAUGCUAACAGGACUGCUGAGGCCUCCCCUCCACCUCGCCUCAAGUUGACAUUGGGCCUGUGGAAAUAGACCUCUAAGCCAGCCUUUCUUGCUAGUUUGGUUUUAGCCUUUCUUGGACUCAGCUUUGCCAUCUGUGAAAUAUGUGAGUCAUCUAGAUAGUGUCUGAAACCUACCAGCUCCAAGUCUAUGGUCCACGGAUGGGCUGUGAGGACAAUCAAGACUGAGGCAGGUUUUCACUCAAGUCCUGGAAUAUCUGGUCAUCCUUCCAGGGUUCUUCAUGGCAGGGAAACAAAAUCAACAACUGAAGAACAUGAGGUUCAGGAGAUUUAAGUCUGAGUUCCAGUGUUGGCUUUGGGUGCCUCUAAUCAACCACAAAUCUAUCCCAAGCCCGAGGCAGGCUGGUCUUACUCAACAUUUAUGGGGUCUUGCAGGGCUUAUGAGUGAGCUCAUGUGGGUGAGCUGUGGGUACCACAGGACCAGCACAGAUUGCUCCAGCACAUUGUCCAGCCACGAGACAGAAUUUCCCUCUUACAGAUCCAUUGAAUAGCCCUGGCCUGUGGGUUUGCUGUAAAGAUGCAAAAGCCCUGAAGCAUUAUCUGCCAAACCUCAGCCCUGACCAUGGUUAGGCUGACAUCAGGGGAGGCAGCAGGAGAGGGAGAGAAAAGGGUAUCUCAUUGUGGAACUGGGGCAGUGGUGGGCAGGGGCUGAUGCAGGAGGGGUGCCAUGGCCCAACUGCUCUUCACCCACGGUCCUUACACAGACCUGAUCCUGCUAAUUCUGACUCAGCUUUCAGACUCAGCCUGCGGACACUCAAUUUUUAGUAAUAAGCAGUCUCCUCAUAAUUUACUAUAUAGCAAAAUAAAUUUUUAAAAGAUAUUAAUAGUUGGCACCAGAGUCUCUUCACUUCAUUUAUUCAUUUUUACAACAAACAUCUAUUGAGCCCCUGGGAUGUGCUUGUGCUCUUUUGGGCUGUGCAGAUUUAACGGUAAAGAUAACAAUGUUCCAGUCCUACUCAAGUUUGCAUUCUGAUGCAGAGAAAGACAAUUAUAAAUCAUAAAAUAUGUAUAAUAUCAGUUAAGGAUUGGUGCUUGGAAUAAAAUAAAGAAGUAGAGAGGGGGAAAUUGGUCAUUUUUGAUAUGAUGGUCCAAGAAGCCUACUGAGGUAACAUGUAGCAGAGAUGAUUUUUAAGGAAAUGACUUUGAUCAGCAACAUGAGAUUGGUAUUGGAAUAUCGAGGACAUAAGUAAGACACAAUAAAUCAGAAGGUGUUAAAAAUAAAGAUGGAUUCAUGACUGAGGGGUGGGGAGAAAAGAAAAAAAAGACAAAGAAUCAUGAC
rnacentral:lncRNA from 1 species